UUCUGCUUCUUUCAAAUCCCUUCCACCCACUGCAGCUCUGUAUUUAGGAACCUCAGGGCUACGCAGCCUGAACGAGAGCUGAAGGAGACUCAGCGGGCAAGACUGUGUUGCCACAGCACCUGUUUGGAUACCAGCCAUGUACUCAGUAAUGUCCUAUCAAAAUCCAGCUUAUGAUUGCAAUCCACCAUGGCAGCAUUGACACGGCUUCCCCGAUGACCUCUCUGCAUUAUUUGUGUAAAUAAUGUAGGACUACUUAAAAACAUGUGCUGGCCUGCUGGAAGUAUAAUUCCGCUGACAGCAUGUUGGUGUCUAAGCCAAGGUUACAAGAGGGAUACCUCAGAAUUUGCAUGUGGACCUCCAUGCAUUCCCUAUGUGGGGCAUUCUGACUAAUGCCUGCCACCUCAUGAAGAAAAAGCAUCCCGUGAGAAAAGAAGAGUUUGCCAACUAUGUUCUGCUCCAUCCUAUGCCUUACUCCUGCUUUCCACCUUGACUUUUUGAUGCUACAAGAUUAUGCUAUAUAAUCUUCCUACUUCAACAACCUCCCAAGUGCUAGCAGAGAACGCAGGUUACUCUUUUAUUAUCACAUUUUAAAUCUUUCUCAAUCUCUUAGCAGAUAAUAAAAAAUUUGCAAAUACUUUCCUAUAUUCCGUAAGCUAUCUUUUUACUUUCCUGAUGUCUUUUAAAUCUCCAAUAUUUUUAAUAUGAAGUCCAAUUUAUUUGUUUUUUCUUUUCCUGCUGUGUUUUAGGUACAAUAUCCAAGAAAUCACUACUCAAAAGUCACAAAGCAGGCCAGAGAGAUGAGUCAGAAGUUAAGAGCACUUACUGCUCUCACAGAGGACCCAGGUUUGGUUCCCAGCACCCAUAUUAGGUGGCUCACAACCACCUGUGACUUCAACGCCAGGGAUCCAACACUCUCUUCUGGCCUCUGUGGGCACAUACAUAGAUGUAGAUACAUGCAUAUAAAUAAAAAUAAAUCUUAAAAAAAUACAUUAUAAAAUGGUUGCAGUCCAGACUGUGUGUUCUUCUAAUAGUUUUAUAAUUUUAGCUCUUAUUUGCAGGUCAGUGACAUAUUUUAAUUUUUUUGUUUCUUUUGUGGCAGGGUAUUCUUGUGUAGCCCAGGUUAGCCUUAAACAUGAUAUGUAGCCUAAAUAGGCCCAGAGCUUCAAAUCAUCUUACCU